UACGUAGGGGGCAAGCGUUGUCCGGAUUUAUUGGGCGUAAAGAGCGUGUAGGCGGUUUGGUAGGUCCGUUGUGAAAAACUCGAGGCUCAACCUCGAGACGCCGAUGGAAACCAUCAGACUAGAGUCCGGAAGAGGAGAGUGGAAUUCCUGGUGUAGCGGUGAAAUGCGCAGAUAUCAGGAAGAACACCGAUGGCGAAGGCAGGUCUCUGGGCUGUAACUGACGCUGAGGAGCGAAAGCAUGGGGAGCGAACAGG
rnacentral:rRNA from 1 species